UACCACCCCCACCUUCACACCUGUGCCCAAGGUUCUCUUGUGCUGAUCCCAUGUGGAGGGAUUGACUAUGAUGAACAGACACAGAUUUGCUGCUCUGGGAAUCUACACAAUCGCCGUCAUGGAGGGUCUCAACAAGAGUGCUGUGGGGCUCAGGUUUACCCCAAAGACAGCCGGGCCCUGGUGUGUUGUGGAGAGACUCUUCACGUGAAAACCUCAAACGUCACUCAUUGCGUAGGAAACGCCUUAUACAACCCGACCACCCACACCCUCUGCGGGUCAGUCAUCCACCCGACACAGCCCGGGACCCAGUGCUGCGGGCACCAACUCCAAAACCACACACACAUCUGUUGCAAC